GAUGAACGCUGGCGGCGUGCCUAAUACAUGCAAGUCGAGCGAACGGACGAGAAGCUUGCUUCUCUGAUGUUAGCGGCGGACGGGUGAGUAACACGUGGGUAACCUACCUAUAAGACUGGGAUAACUUCGGGAAACCGUAGCUAAUACCGGAUAAUAUUUUGAACCGCAUGGUUCAAAAGUAAAAGACGGUCUUGCUGUCACUUAUAGAUGGAUCCGCGCUGCAUUAGCUAGUUGGUAAGGUAACGGCUUACCAAGGCAACGAUGCAUAGCCGACCUGAGAGGGUGAUCGGCCACACUGGAACUGAGACACGGUCCAGACUCCUACGGGAGGCAGCAGUAGGGAAUCUUGCGCAAUGGGCGAAAGCCUGACGGAGCAAUGCCGCGUGAGUGAUGAAGGUCUUCGGAUCGUAAAACUCUGUUAUUAGGGAAGAACAUAUGUGUAAGUAACUGUGCACAUCUUGACGGUACCUUAUCAGAAAGCAACGGCUAACUACGUG
rnacentral:rRNA from 1 species